ACGAGGAAGGGCGUAGCGAGCGACGAAAUGCUUUGGAGAGUUGAAAAUAAGCAUAGAUCCGGAGAUUCUCAAAUGGGUCAACCUUUUAAACCGCCUGCUGAAUCCAUGAGCAGGAAAGAGACAACCUGGCGAACUGAACCAUGCUACAUUGUUUGUUGUACUUGAUUUGAAAUUG
rnacentral:ncRNA from 1 species